UCUAACAAUUCCCCCAAAAAAUAUUCUUCAAGUUUCAUAGAUCUGAAAUUUGAAUUUUAAAAUCCAAAUCCUAGAUCUAGUUCUUCACAAAAACAAAAAACAAGCAAAACAACAGAAAAAUUCAAAAAAGGUACUAUUACAUCGAUUUUUUUAGAAUAAUUACAAGUUAAAACAGUUAAUUCGAGUGCCUAGUGUCCAGAUUCAAUUUCAAGGUCGUUUUGGAUUUUUUUCAAGUUAUUUUGGGUUAUUUCUAGCUGCUGAAGUUCAGAAAUUUUCCUGGGAUUAAUUUUGAAUCAUUUUGGGUUUAUUCAAGUCUAUUUUAGUGGAUUAUUGGUUUUGUGUUUUGGUAUUCCAAUUUCCGACUGAUUCUGGUGUUAUUCGCUAGACUGUACACUUGACGUCGAGCUGUUGUUUGGUAUUUGCUAUUGAUUAUCUUCUUCGUAUUGCACUAAAUCUCCUGGUAUAUUUUUUGGAUUCAAUCUGAUUUAAACCUCAAGUUAAAGGAAUGAAAUAAAGAUGACAUCUAGUUUUACUGUAGAUUUCAGUUGUUUCACGUUAUAUUGUGCUUAUUUGUAUUUAAUGGGAC
rnacentral:lncRNA from 1 species